rnacentral:lncRNA from 1 species
AUGUAUAUCUUUUUCUGUUUUAAUGAUCACAUAGGUUUUUUCUUACACUCCAUAAUUACACCUUAUAAUUUAUAUUUUUCUUUAAUUUUCAGGUCCUUAUGUCUCUCUUUGUGUAACACUCUUGCAGGAAAAUUCAGUACAGUGAAUACUUUGCAAACAAAUAGAAGAAAAAAAGCAAUUUCAAAAGCAAGAAGGAGAAGAAGAAGAAGCAAAAGACACUCUCGCCCCUACAUCAAGCACUCGACCCUCAACACCUAAGAAAGAAAGAGGAAAACCAGGUUCCUUGGUCCUUGAAAAAGGCAUUUCCGUGGUGUGGCAGCUGAAAUAGAUCAACUAAUCCCAGUGAUGGAAGAGUGUUCUUGAAGCCCUCAUAUGAGUUAGUGAACUGUGGUAAAGAAUGGUAGGAAACAUACCCUGAGCUGGUAUCCUGGUAAGAACUACUGACGUUUCAUCUCUGCAGUUGCAUGCUAUUCAGUGGCCAUCGUUAACAGAAGGUUUUGUUUUGGGGCGCAACUGAGUGUCCACCAUGGAAAAUAAAUAAAUUAAUAAAGUACUAGGGUGAAAGAGC